CACACAUUAUUUCAUUUCAUCUUCACUCAAGACCUGAGGCAGGGCAGGGACUCUUCAUCCAUUCCUUCUGUCAUUUACGUAUCCGUUCGGGAAACAUUCAUUGAGUGCUGCCCGGUCUUGACACCGAAGGCAGAGCUUUAAGACAGAGAUGACAGUCGAGUGGGAAAGGCAGACAGUGAUGGCUGCACGGUAAGCGUGGAGAGAUGUAGGUGCCAUAGGAUGGCAGAGGAGAAGCCCUGACCCUCGGGCUCAGGGGAUCAGGGGAGUCUCAUAGAAGGAGAGAAGAAAGGAGCCAGCCAGGAGGAGGACCCGUCGUGCUGAGGGACCGGCACGAGUCAAGGUGAGGAGAGUGGUGGAGUAAGGAGUAACCCAUCUAGGGCUGUAGCAUGGAAGAGGGGGUGAUCAUUUUCUUAAGAUCACUCAAAUGGUUAUGCACAGAGCUGGGACUCAAACACCCAGGUCUUGACUUCUACUCGAGCACGCUUUCCAUUCUGUGACAUUGCCUCCCUGUCUUCCCAGGUCCCCUGUCAUUAAGGAUCUGGGUCCUCUGUUGGAAAGUGUCUGAGAGACAGACCUACCGCUGACAGGAGAACAUGAGGACAGUAUUGACAUCAAGGCUAUGGCCAGACGCUAAGCUAAGCACCAUGCAUUAUCUCAUUUAAUUCUCGAAAAACCUAAUGAGGUAAGCUUCGCGUGCAUUUUACUGAUGGAGAGAAUAGAAGUCAAGCAAUGACCAGCAGUAGCUCAAAUGGAGGUAACAGCUCUGGGUUCUACUACAUUCAGAUGUUACCUAAUCGCCACUCUUCCACUGACUCCUAGAGGAAGAUACGAGAAAAAAUGUCUAGGAGAGAAGCCAAGUCCUUCCUCUGGUCAGGAAAACUUGCAGAGGCAUUUUUCACAGGUCAUUCUCCAAAUUUAUUUUAAUUUUCUUUUUUAAAAACCUUCAUUAUAUAAAUGUCUAUUUUUUAUUUUAUUAUUAUUAUUAUUAUUUUUGAGAUGGAGUCUCACUUACUCUGUCGCCCAGGCUGGAAUGCAGUGGAGGAUCUUGGCUCACUGCAACUUCUUCCUUCUGGGUUCAAGCGAUUCUCCUGCCUCAGCCUCCUGAGUAGCUGGGACUACAGACGCCCGCCACCAUGCCUGGCUAACAUUUUUGUAUUUUUAGUAGAGACGGGGUUUUGCCAUGUUGGCUAGGCCAGUCUUGAACUCCUGACCUCAAGUGAUCCGCCCGCCUCGGACUCCCAAAGUGCUGGGAUUACAGGUGUGAGCCACUGCGCCUGGACUUAUUUUUUAUUUUUUAACUGACAAGUGGAAGUUGUAUAUAUUUAUCAUGUACAACACAUUGUUUUAAAAUAUGUACACAUUGUGGAAUAGCUAGACUGAGCUAAUUAACAUAUGUAUUAUCUUACAUACUUUUUUAUGGUGAGAACACUUACAAUCUACUCUCUUAGCAGCAAUUUUCAAGGACGCGAUGCAUUGUUAUUAACGAUAUUUACAUGUUUCUCCCCCGCAGUGUCUCCAGUGGAAGAAGUGGGAAGAUGAGGUUCGGAAGGGGUGCAUUCUUUCAGCGUGCCACAGGCUUUGCAGCAAAACUCACCAGGAGCUUGAGAGUUCUCUGCAGUGUAGAUGAAAUGAGGGAGGAAUGGAGUUUACAGGGAGAAAAAUGUGGGCCGAUGUAACACUAAGGCCAAUUAGCUCAGACAAAGGGCAAAAAUGAGAGCUGGCAACCUGUCUAGUAAGAAACGUGAGCAAGGCCCUAAUGCAGGUGCUGUUCCUCAGGGUCCAACAGCUGAAGGCCACGCUUGGUUUUUACAACAUUUCUUGGGCUCCCAGCUUUUCAGAACAGCACCCGUUGUUAGAAAGACGGCUGUCCAGAGAGAGAACAUACCAGCAUAGUGGGAUCGUUGAGCAAAGCAAGAACACUGGCGGUGGAUCUCAAGCAAAGCUUUCUGGCAGAACAUCGGGCCGAAAUGAAAGCUUCGUUCCAUGUGUUUUCCACUCUGCUUCAAGCCUCUUCCAGAUGCAGGAGUCUAACAGAGUCCACAUAAACAAGAAACCAAAACAAAACGGCACAAGAUCGAAAGCUUUCCCCUUGUGAUACAACCACUUUAUGUGCAGAGAGGCGCUCACAUGAUGCUGCCAACAUGUGUUUUCUGUCUCAGAUUUCCCUUGAUAACAAAGGACAUAUUUUAGAAGGCGUGGCCCUAGGUGCAUUUGGCCAGCAGGAAUCCGAGUGGAGUUUGGGGAUUUCAUUUGGGUUUAGGCUGAUCCCCUCGGGUGCCCAGUGCUACAGCCCUUGAUGAUGUUAAACCCCAAUUAAUAAAGUUGUUAGGAACACUUUGGGUCAGGUUUGUAAGAUAUGAUCUCAUUCUACUGCUCACAGAACUGAUUUAAUAUUCAGGAAUCAACUAAGCUCAUUCAUUUCCAAAAUUGGCAGCCCUGCAUGUUGCUUCACAGUACUCCCUCUGUCCAAGGCUGGGCAGGGUAUGUUAAAAGGAAAUCUGCAGAAGAGUCUUUCAUGAUGUUCCAAGACUCAGAGAGAAGGAUGGGGGCUGGGAAACAGGCAGGGUGGACAGGUGGGAGGGACAGUAGCUCUGCCUGAGGUAUGAAUGUGAUAGACAGAGAAAGGCAAUGAUAGCUCAGAAAAACUCACGACUCUUAUUGUUAGAAAUCCCACUUCCAAAUCUAUGCAAGUUUUAAGAAGCCAGAAAUAGCUGCAUUAACAUUACCGUAUGGACUUUUUUUAAAAAGUUGCAAAUGACCAUAAAAAAUAUCAGCCAUCUCUUUUGAUGACCUUACCUAAGUGAUUUAUGAUCUUAAAAGCCUCCUCUAAAUACUGCUUUUUAAUCAAGAAAGCUUAUGUUACUCUUCCUACACAAAAUUAACCUCACUUCAGAUUUUGAAGAAAAGGCAGAUCAUAUUUUUAAAUUUCAAUUUUUCAUCUUUUAAAUAG
rnacentral:lncRNA from 1 species